rnacentral:rRNA from 1 species
CCGACGGAGAGUUUGAUCCUGGCUCAGGGCGAACGCUGGCGGCGUGCCUAAAACAUGCAAGUCGAGCGGGGGUUGGCCGCGGGGCAACCCGCGGUUUCAGCUCUAGCGGCGAACGGGUGAGUAACACGUGGGUAACCUGCCCCGAAGACGGGGACAACCUCGGGAAACCGGGGCUAAUACCCGAUACCCUCCCCCGGGGGCAUCCCUGGGGGAGGAAAGGGUCGGGCGCAAGCCCUUCCGCUUCGGGAUGGGCCCGCGGCCUAUCAGCUCGUUGGUGGGGUAACGGCCCACCAAGGCGAUGACGGGUAGCUGGCCUGAGAGGGUGGUCAGCCACACUGGGACUGAGACACGGCCCAGACUCCUACGGGAGGCAGCAGUUGGGAAUCUUGGGCAAUGGGCGCAAGCCUGACCCAGCGACGCCGCGUGGGGGAUGAAGGCCUUCGGGUUGUAAACCCCUGUCAGGAGGGACGAAGCCCACUCCUCGGGAGUGGGUGACGGUACCUCCAGAGGAAGCCCCGGCUAACUACGUGCCAGCAGCCGCGGUAAGACGUAGGGGGAGAGCGUUGCCCGGAUUUACUGGGCGUAAAGCGGGUGCA